rnacentral:rRNA from 1 species
UCAGCGGCAGACGGGUGAGUAACGCGUGGGAACGUACCUUUUGGUUCGGAACAACACAGGGAAACUUGUGCUAAUACCGGAUAAGCCCUUACGGGGAAAGAUUUAUCGCCGAAAGAUCGGCCCGCGUCUGAUUAGCUAGUUGGUAGGGUAACGGCCUACCAAGGCGACGAUCAGUAGCUGGUCUGAGAGGAUGAUCAGCCACAUUGGGACUGAGACACGGCCCAAACUCCUACGGGAGGCAGCAGUGGGGAAUAUUGGACAAUGGGGGCAACCCUGAUCCAGCCAUGCCGCGUGAGUGAUGAAGGCCCUAGGGUUGUAAAGCUCUUUUGUGCGGGAAGAUAAUGACGGUACCGCAAGAAUAAGCCCCGGCUAACUUCGUGCCAGCAGCCGCGGUAAUACGAAGGGGGCUAGCGUUGCUCGGAAUCACUGGGCGUAAAGGGUGCGUAGGCGGGUCUUUAAGUCAGGGGUGAAAUCCUGGAGCUCAACUCCAGAACUGCCUUU